rnacentral:tRNA from 2 species
GGGCGGUUAGCUCAGCGGUAGAGCACUUGCUCGACACGCAAGGGGUCACAAGUUCAAUCCUUGUACCGCCCACCA